rnacentral:lncRNA from 1 species
ACGCACGUUUCGCAAGGCUCCUGCCUUUAUAACAGCGUGGUGCUGCUCCUGGCAGAUCGCUGGGCUGCCUGCAGAGCCACGGGCAGCAGCCAAUCCUCCUCACCAUGAUUCUCCUCCUGCAGUACUUCUUCAUGCUGGCCACAGACCUGGUGCUGGCCAUGACCCUCUCGUGCCUCUUCUACGCCUUCGCGUGCGCCUCCAUUGCGUUGCUGACCUGCUGCGCCAUCGUCUUCUCCUUCGGCAGCACCGAGAGGAGCGCCGACGUCAAAGGGAGAGCCAUCGUCAUCCUAGUGUCCAACAGCUCCAUCGGCAGGAUGUUUGCAAGGAACCUGGACAGAGCAGGCUUCGGGGUGUCUGCUGCUCAGUGGCCUGCCCGGGAGGAGAGGACAGUGACACAAGAGUGCCCAUCCAACAAGGAGGUAGCCCAGCUGCACCUGACCGAAGAUGAGUAUCAGAAGACAGUGAAAACCUUCAUAGAAAGCCACUUAUCCCUGAAAGGGGAAAGAGCCUGCUUUGGUGGCUGUGAAAGGCCCCAGCAGACCCCAGUCCCUGAAGGAAGGCAAGGUAGGCCAAGGAAGGAGGGGGAGAAGGUCCUAUCAAGGCACAGAGGUCUGGACUUGCUCUGAGAAGAAAACACAGAAACGAACAAUGGGGAGCAAAGCCUAGACAGUGACCUCAGGUGAAGGAACGUGUCUGAUCUUUAAUCUCUUCUGGAUUAAAAAGGAACCCAGCUGAGCUCCCUCUUGGCUUCCCGGCUGCUGUGGGAUUCCUAAG